rnacentral:rRNA from 1 species
UACGUAGGGUGCAAGCGUUGUCCGGAAUCAUUGGGCGUAAAGCGCGCGUAGGCGGCCCUGUAAGUCCGUUGUGAAAGUCAAGGGCUCAACCUUUGAAAGCCGAUGGAUACUGCAGGGCUAGAGUCCGGAAGAGGCGAGUGGAAUUCCUGGUGUAGCGGUGGAAUGCGCAGAUAUCAGGAGGAACACCAAUAGCGAAGGCAGCUCGCUGGGACGGUACUGACGCUCAGGCGCGAAAGCGUGGGGAGCAAACAGG